ACACCCGGUGGUUAUUUAUUGUAUUAUGUUCAUUUUUGUAUAGCGGGCCAGAUUCUAUUGAAAUUUAUAAAAAGCCUCGCGGGCCACCACAAAACUGAUUGCGGCCCGCAGAUGGCCCGCAGCCCGUAGUUUGGACACCCCUGGUCUAUGCCAUUGCUGUGAACCAACACAACAGUCCAUUAAUGGCAUCCUAUCAUGCCCAUUGUAUUACAUGAUCAGUUGAAACAUAUUCAUGUAACCUUUUGGAUGUGCAUGCUGGAAUUUAUUCAGUAAAAAGUCUUUUCCUCAUUGUUUUUUCCUACACAACUUUUUUUUAUAUGUGGAUGGAAACUAAACUACAGAAUGUUAAAAUGCUUCCCAAUCAGUGACCUAAAAAUAAGACCCAGUUUCAAGUCCUACUGCACUGAUGGCUCCCUGACACAUGAGAUUCUGUUAUGGUAGGUUCUAGGUAAACUAAUCAUCCAAUGCUUCCCGCUGGACACCUCCAGUGGAUUAAGCCUUAAUUAAUUAGUAGAGUAGUUAGAUAAUGAAAUUUAGCCUGAGCCGGUUCUCUGUGUUCCCUUGCAGAGCCAAGAGUCACUCAGGUCCCGAGAACCAGCAGCUGAGCCAACAUGGUCAACUGCUCCAGCUGCCAGGCUACUGCUUUAGCAGCAGGGGUCUUGGCUGGGGAAGGGGGGUAUCAAAGGAGAGUGUAUUGCAGAGAGGAGGGGUGUUGGAUUAAAGCAAGGGUUGGUGGGCAGACAACAGUGUGCACUGGGUGGGGUAGAACAGAUGAGGAACAAUAGGGGCAGGGACGCUGGAGUGAGCAGAAGGGUGAGGAGGCCAUGGGAAACGUGUGGCGGCCAUCGCCCCAGCACCAGGCCACUGGGCGCACUCAAUAGACACAGGAAAUGGGAUUUACGUGAGGCAGAUGUGCGCAAGAGAGGUAAUGAAUGCAUUAGAGCCCAAUGAGCAAGAGAAAGGUGAGAGCGACCAAUGUGCGCUUCCCAUGAAAGCCAUUAACCCUACCCUCUAUGUGGACCACCGCUCUGUAGAUGGCUAUACAGAGACACUCUAAAACAAUGAGAGCACAAGGAGAUGAAGAGAGAAAGAAAGGCUCUUGUGCCUUGAGUACUCUUUGUCGCCCCGGGCUGGCCUGUCAUCUUGCAUUGCGUGAUGCUGGUUUGAAUGUUGGUGAGAAUCUGGAAGUGACUGCACCCAAGAACAUUUUCCCACUGCAUGGCAAAGCUUCAAACCUUGUGGCUGGAGGUUUUCAGGGCAUUGUAUUUAUGUCCUGUAAAUCAUUUCCCCGUGAGAUUGUAGAUUGUUUGUUGGAACAAUGAUGUGUGCUGCUUUGAAAUGUUCAUAAAUCAAUCCAUAUUGAAGAA